rnacentral:rRNA from 1 species
UACGUAGGGUGCGAGCGUUGUCCGGAAUUACUGGGCGUAAAGAGCUCGUAGGUGGUUUGUCGCGUUGUUCGUGAAAACUCACAGCUUAACUGUGGGCGUGCGGGCGAUACGGGCAGACUGGAGUACUGCAGGGGAGACUGGAAGUUCCUGGUGGUAGCGGUGGGAAUGCGCAGGAUAUCAGGAGGAACACCGGUGGCGAAGGCGGGUCUCGUGGGCAGGUGAACUGACGCUGGAGGAGCGAAAGCGUGGGGAGCGAACAGGA